GAUGAACGCUGGCGGCGUGCCUAAUACAUGCAAGUCGAGCGAACAGAUAAGGAGCUUGCUCCUUUGACGUUAGCGGCGGACGGGUGAGUAACACGUGGGUAACCUACCUAUAAGACUGGGAUAACUACGGGAAACCGGGGCUAAUGCCGGAUAAUAUAUAGAACCGCAUGGUUCUAAAGUGAAAGAUGCUUUUGCUAUCACUUAUAGAUGGACCCGCGCCGGAUUAGCUAGUUGGUAAGGUAACGGCUUACCAAGGCGACGAUGCGUAGCCGACCUGAGAGGGUGAUCGGCCACACUGGAACUGAGACACGGUCCAGACUCCUACGGGAGGCAGCAGUAGGGAAUCUUCCGCAAUGGGCGAAAGCCUGACGGAGCAACGCCGCGUGAGUGAUGAAGGUCUUCGGAUCGUAAAACUCUGUUAUUAGGGAAGAACAAAUGUGUAAGUAACUGUGCACGUCUUGACGGUACCUAAUCAGAAAGCCACGGCUAACUACGUG
rnacentral:rRNA from 1 species